GUUUAUAAUAGUUUUAAUGUUACAGAAUCGAUUAAAACACUAAAUAAAAGACAGAAAUAUGGUUUUCCUCAGUUUUGGCAUCUUCAGCAUUGGCACAUUACACUUAGCUUUUUUUAUUAGGAAAUAAAAUGGUACAGUCGAGUCAUGAAAUAAGGUGACACAAAGCAGAAAUUAGCGCAUUUUGUUUCCAAAUUCAGCAACUACAAAAUCAAGGAUGUGUGCAGUUAAAGGUGAAGAGCAGGUGUGAGGUGUGUCAUUCUGUAAAGGGAAACAACAGCACCGGCACCAGAAUACAUUUUAAAAUGUUCAUUAGGUGAAACUAGAGUUGGAACAUUGCAGGUGAGAAAGAGUCAAGCCAUUUAAAUGUAGCUUUAGCACCACCUAUAUGUGAAAAGCUGUCCUAAAUUGUGUGAUGAUUCAUUUAAUUUUCACUUAAUUUUUUGACAUAUAAAACAUUAUGAUCAAC